UACAGAGGUCUCAAGCGUUGUUCGGAUUCAUUGGGCGUAAAGGGUGCGUAGGCGGCGAGGUUAGUCGGAUGUGAAAUCUUGGAGCUUAACUCCGAAACUGCAUUCGAUACUGCCGUGCUUGAGGACUGGAGAGGAGACUGGAAUUUACGGUGUAGCGGUGAAAUGCGUAGAUAUCGUAAGGAAGACCAGUGGCGAAGGCGGGUCUCUGGACAGUUCCUGACGCUGAGGCACGAAGGCCAGGGGAGCAAACGGG
rnacentral:rRNA from 1 species